rnacentral:rRNA from 1 species
UACGUAGGGGGCUAGCGUUGUCCGGAUUUAUUGGGCGUAAAGAGCGUGUAGGCGGCCAGGUAGGUCUGCUGUGAAAACUCGAGGCUUAACCUCGAGAUGUCAUCGGAAACCAUCUGGCUAGAGUCCGGAAGGGGCGAGUGGAAUUCCUGGUGUAGCGGUGAAAGUGCGCAGAUAUCAGGAGGAACACCGAUGGCGAAGGCAGGUCUCUGGGCCACUACUGACGCUGAGAAGCGAAAGCAUGGGGAGCGAACAGG